CCGCUACCAAUUUAACAAGCAGCGUACGGUUUUUGGAAGAUCCCUAGAAACCUAAAGUCGCUGCCUAUUUAAUAAGUAGCCAAUAGUUUCUGGAAAGUACCUGAGAACCUAAAGCUGCUGCCAAUUCAACAAGCAGCCUACGGAUUCUGAAAGAUCCCUAGGAACCUAAAGUCACUGCCAAUUCACCAAGCAACCUACGGUUUCUAGAAAACUGCCUAUGGUACACCCUUCGAGUAGUUAGCCACCUAACCAUAUACAACCACACAAUCUUGUGAAAGGUUAACAAGUUAACGCACAUAUGCACUGCCUAGCGCAGAACAACCCAUCGGGUUCGCACUGAUUCCUAAAGUGAUGUGCUACUUGCUACGUAGUCUACGAAAUUGGUUACAUAUAGUACAAAGCAUUUUUUCGAACCACUGCCCAUGAAAUUCCAUAGAACCAUGCACUUUUGAUGCGAAAGGGUAGCAAAUUUCGUGUCCCAUCAAUCUUUAGUAUGUUAUGAUACAGGCCACGUAGUUUAAAGGAUUGGAGAAAUGACGACCAGCUAAGCAGCCAAUGGUCGGAGGGCAAGAACACGAGAUAAAGCUCAGCAAUUCAACGCCUUAGAAUAUCAAAGUUAACAACCAAGAAGUCAUGCAGACUCACCUGUUUCUGUAAGUAAGGCAUCUGGCUGCUGACUCUUUGGUUAAUAGCUUUGCAGAGGUCCUAAGCCUAGAUUAACAGUCAAAUAGGUCAUGCAAGCUCGUCUGCUUAUUAAAAAGUAGCACGUUUCGCUAACGACCUUGUGAUUAAAGAUCAAGUAGACCACUAAUAUGAGACAUACAACUAUAGAGGACAUUCGGCCCUACAAGUUAAAAAUUUCAAAAGAUGCCUCAAGCAAGUGAAGAUUCACACCCGACAACCCGAAGUUGGCACCUAAACUAAUGGAGACAGGCUUGACUGCUUUAUUCAAAGCAACCUACUCAAUUGUUCAUUCUACGAUAAAAGCUUGAAGCAAGGCAAAGAGACAAAGAUAAAGUAAAGCGAAGAAAAACAGUUUAUUAAUUUCUUGCAAAUUGGUAAACUAGCACAAAGGCCAACAGAGUUCAAGCAAAGGAAAAAGCAAGCAGGAAAGGGGAAAAAAAGUAAAUCCUAAAGUUUAUCUAAAAAGACUACUCUUCAGCAGCAUAGACAUCUUCAGCAGCCACAUUGAAGGAAAUGUUUGGGAAAACUAGUUCAUUUAAGCAACAUCUAUGCAUGCAAUUAACAAUUAAAAGGCGGAAUCAUGCUUGUAUGCACUCAAAAACAAAACUUUACCCAUGAAAUUCAAGGCCUAGUAGUUAUGGUGAACCAAGACUCAACUCAAAACAAAGUGAGUUGAGAAAUCUUAUACCUUUGUUGAUUCCUCUUUGCAUAAACAAAGGCUAAUCACCCAAGAGAGAGUGUCUUUAUUCCUUACUUCUUAGCUCCAUAGAUUUUUUGGAGGAUGAUGGAUGAAUGGAUUCUCCAAGUUCCCAAAAUAGAGAACCUCUAAGUCUCCACACCAAGGAAAGCAUUGAUGAAGAGAUGAGUGACCUAGGCAGAGAUAGAUGCUAGUAAUAUCUCCCUAGGGUGGCCAAGCCGACCUUCAUUAAAGAAGAGAGAGCUUUUGUGUUCUAUUCUUUUCCCUUAGAAAACCCUAAUGAUGAAAAAUGUUAUAAAGUCCUUUAUAUAGUCCCUUCAAUUAAGUGACCAAAAAGAAUCAAAACCCAUUUCCUUCUCUAUAUGGUCGGCCUCCUUAUGCCUUUGGGCUUUUGGGCCCUUUCAAGUUUUUAGUCACUAAGUUGUCAUACAACUUAUGUUAAUGGGCUUGAUAUUCAAAUCCCAUUGGGCCUUGAGGCCCAAAACUAACCUGAGGUCUAUAACGAACUUAUUUGUUUGAUUAAUUAACAUAUUAAUUAAUCAUAGCCAUAAACAAUUAAACCAUUUAAUUAUCCUUACUCAUCUCCGUGGUUUCUUCAAUCUCUACCUUACUCGGUGUACGAUCCAUUAGGUUCUUUUUAGUG
rnacentral:lncRNA from 1 species